GAUGAAGAACGUAGUGAAAUGCGAUAAGUAAUGUGAAUUGCAGAAUUCAGUGAAUCAUCGAAUCUUUGAACGCAUAUUGCGCCCAUUAGUAUUCUAGUGGGCAUGCCUAUUCGAGCGUCAUUUCAACCCUUACGCCCUGCCGCGUAGUGUUGGGACUCUGCCCCGCACGGGGCAGUUCCCUAAAGCCAGUGGCGGUGGUAGGUACACCCGUAGCGUAGUAAUUCUUUUCUCGCUUCGGCAGUGUCCCUAGGUACCGGCCGUAAAACCCCCUAUUUUCUCAUGGUUGACCUCGGAUUAGGUAGGAAUACCCGCUGAACUUAAGCAUAUCAAUAAGCGGAGGA
rnacentral:misc_RNA from 1 species